rnacentral:lncRNA from 1 species
UUUAAUUUAAUUUAAUUUGAUCUUAUUCGAGUUGAUUUAUGCUAGUCCAAAUAGGAUUUAGACUUAGUUCAUAAUUGGACUAAGAUUGCAAUCAAUUUGAAUUUGAUUUAGAACCAAACCGAGUCAAAAUAGGAAUAGAUCAUGUAGAGUCCCAUUGGCAGGAACUCUCUCUCUUGAAUUCAUGCCACAAAUGCAUCAUGCCCAAGGAGUUGGCAUGAGAAUUUUUGGUAAGGAAUAGGAAGGGUCCA